AGUCCUGUAGUAGAUGUAUACGUUGGAUUGCAAAUCCAAAACCGGAGGUUGAUUCCUCCCGGGGCUUUC
rnacentral:tRNA from 1 species